rnacentral:tRNA from 1 species
GCAGUGGUGGCUCAGUGGUAGAGUUCUUGCCUUCCGUGCAGGGGACCUGGGUUUAAUUCCUGGCCGAUGCA